UGGGGAAUCUUCCGCAAUGGGCGCAAGCCUGACGGAGCAACGCCGCGUGAGUGAAGAAGGUCUUCGGAUCGUAAAGCUCUGUUGAUGGGGACGAACGUGCCUAAUGCGAAUAGUAUUAGGUAAUGACGGUACCCAUCGAGGAAGCCACGGCUAACUACGUGCCAGCAGCCGCGGUAAUACGUAGGUGGCGAGCGUUGUCCGGAAUCAUUGGGCGUAAAGGGAGCGCAGGCGGGCAUGUAAGUCUUUCUUAAAAGUGCGGGGCUCAACCCCGUUAUGGGAAAGAAACUAUGUGUCUUGAGUACAGGAGAGGAAAGCGGAAUUCCCAGUGUAGCGGUGAAAUGCGUAGAUAUUGGGAGGAACACCAGUGGCGAAGGCGGCUUUCUGGACUGCAACUGACGCUGAGGCUCGAAAGCCAGGGGAGCGAACGGG
rnacentral:rRNA from 1 species